rnacentral:lncRNA from 1 species
GACACCUUUUUGAAUAGGUGAAUGUUCUUGUGGGUGCAAAAGUUAUUGUUAUUUCUUGUCAUUACGAAAUGCUCAAAUGAGCAGUAUUGAAAGAGAUAUCUUUUUCGCAUUGUAGAUUGACAUCCAUAUGGAUUAACUAGAUGUUUAUCUGCCAGCCAAUUUCAAUCUCAAAUCACAUGGUUUUAAGCAUCAAAUAGCAUUAUUGUUAAACCUCCUUUCAUAUCCAAAGACCAAGUACAGACGAAAUGGCAAACAUCAUUCAUAUGCAAUUUCCAAAGUCACCUCAUUAUCACAUUUAGGAACAUAGAUAUAAGAUGGUACACUAAAAUGACAAUGUUGAAUAUUUACAGAUGCACGCAGGUAGUCGCCUACUACAGCUAGGCCUAUACUGAAAAUGGACCGGGCAGCAUAGUCUCUCUUUAAUGCCACUAUUUCUCUGUGUGAUUUGAGGUGACCAUUUACUUUAAAAAAAUGACAAAAUGUUCUGUUAAAUAUGUACUAAAAUUCUGUACUUGAGACAUAUUGGCAAACAUUUCGUGCAAAAUUUUGCAUGGAUGUAAAUAGGGUUGCUUACUAACCAGUUUGUCACUAACAAUUCAGUUUGUGGAAUAGAUUAACAGGUUUUUUAUUUGUUGUAUUUUUGGUAAGUUUGUGUCAGAUACUUCUUGCUUCCAAUAUCAUAAAUGUUCGUGUUCCAUUUCAGUUCUACACUGCACAUACUUUUGAAUUGUAACUGUCAUCCAUAUGAAUGAUGUAUUAAUAAAUAACAGAUUCACAAUAUAAUUUCAUUCCAAAGUUGGUUAAUCGAGUACAAUGUUCUGUAAACUUUACGCAGUCAUUUUUAUAACAAAGUAUGGUAUGUUAUUUGUAACUAAUGGUUUUCUACUAUUUCAACGGUUCAAACCUCGCCCAUUCAUGAUGCCGAAUUGAUGAAUACGAAGGCAGUCUACCCAGAUGAUCCAAAAAAUGUGAUCCGGAGACCAACCAUGGAAACAACUAUGGAAUAUUCAUGAUGAUCCAGAUAUUCACGUCUCGCCAUGUACUGCUGACUGGACACCAACAGGAAUACUUUGAAUGUAUGCUGCUAUUUCCAUUAAUGGCAAUCUGAAACAGAAGACAGAUUCACUGGUGAAAGGCUGAAAACUGAUAUUGUAUAGAAAAAUGUAUAAUUGUAGAGCUUUGUUGAUGUUUUUUGGAGUCUGCUACUCACUGAAACUUCAGCUCCUAAGAACUAUGGAAGUGAUAAUUGAUGCUGAUAUUAAGUUGUAUAUUUUGCUUCUGUAAAACCCCAUUGAUGUACAGAGAUAAAUGUGAUGAAAAAUGUAUAGUUUGUAGUUUUGUUUAGUGCUUCACAGACUCCUGUCUGAGAGUAGCUGAGAAACUGAAAACACUAAGAGAGGAUACGUUUCUAUUCUAGGCUUAUUAGUGCUACUAAUAAACAUGUUUUACCCCUUUAUUAUUGUUAUGAUGACUAUGGAUAAAAGUCACAUAGUCUUCUUUGCCGUGUAAGGGUUUUCUUGUCUUGAUGUAUGACAUUAAAUUAUAUUUAUUUACGAGUUUUGUGUGUUGUUGUGUUUCUUGGGAGCUACCCUUACUGUGAAGAGUUGCUUGAAGUCAUAGUAAUUAUUGAUGUAAUGAUUUCAAAAUUUCAGGAAUUUAUAAAUGAUACUUAUAGAUAAAACCUAUAAAGUCAUUGCCUACAUACUUUGAUUAAUUUUUGUUCCACAUGAGUGGACGUAAAUGACUUGGCAAAUCUCAGUUUAGCUCGAUUUUUGGGACAUAUAUGAAGGGCUCCUACAACAUUAUUAUGAUAUUCUUUGACAUAUAGUCUUCACUUCUGCCGUCAGAACAGUAAUUGGGACUAGAAUGCAUAAAAAAAAUAAUUUUAAAAGCAUUAAGAAAAAU